rnacentral:tRNA from 1 species
ACCCGGGUGGCUCAGUCGGUUGGCAUCUGACUUAGGCUCAGGACACGACCUCACGGUUCGUGGGUUCGAGCCCCACAUCGGGCU